rnacentral:sRNA from 1 species
AUUAUAGAUUUAUGAUUUAAAUUUUUAUAAGAAACUAUAAACAACUAAAAUGAAAGACAUGUACAUUGUCUCACUUACAUAUUGAAUAAAACUUUUUUGAAAUAUAUUAGAAGUAAUAAAAUAUUAAUUUGUGUGUUGUUGUUAUUAUUAAUAAUUAUUUAUCUUAUAUAAAAUAAAUAUUAAACAAAAAAAGAUAGUGGACUGCAUACGAACCACACCCUAUUACAUGUGUUCUUCAAUUUUACUUUUAUAUGAUUAAGAAUAUUGUUGCGGUCCAAAACUUUGCUUAUUUUUGAUGUUUUAAUUAAAAUUAUUAACUUAUAAAAGUGAGUGUGGAUGGUGACAAAAUGACUUACCACACUUGGAACCACAGUGUUCCGCGCUGCACAUUCACUCCCUUACUCCGAAUGGUUUAAGCGGACUAGGUGGUGCGGAACAAGCGGAUUAAGUAGUGCGAUGCGGUUUAACUGCGGUUUAAACGAGAGAAACGCAUUAUGCGGAACACAUGCGAUUGUUGCAUAAGAGCGGUUUACAAUAAUAUGUGAAUGAUGAAUAUUACAAUUAUGGUACAGAUGUAAUAAUUAUUAAAUUUGAUU